rnacentral:rRNA from 1 species
AGGAUGAACGCUGGCGGCGUGCCUAAUACAUGCAAGUCGAACGAGGUCUUCGGACCGAGUGGCGAACGGGUGAGUAACACGUUGGUACCUACCCCGAAGUGGGGAAUAACUGCCCGAAAGGGUGGCUAAUACCGCAUAAUACCGCAAGGUUAAAGCAGUAAUGCGCUUCGGGAGGGGCCUGCGUCCCAUUAGCUAGUUGGUAGGGUAAUGGCCUACCAAGGCGACGAUGGGUAGCUGGAUCGAGAGGUUGACCAGCCACACUGGGACUGAGAUACGGCCCAGACUCCUACGGGAGGCAGCAGUAAGGAAUCUUCCACAAUGGACGAAAGUCUGAUGGAGCAACGCCGCGUGCAGGAUGACGGCCUUCGGGUUGUAAACCCCUUUCACGUUGGGACGAAGCUUCGUCGGUUAAUAGCCGACUGGAGUGACGGUACCUUCACAAGAAGCACCGGCUAACUACGUGCCAGCAGCCGC